rnacentral:rRNA from 1 species
UACGUAGGGGGCGAGCGUUGUCCGGAAUCAUUGGGCGUAAAGCGCGUGUAGGCGGCCCGGUAAGUCCGCUGUGAAAGUCCAGGGCUCAACCUGGGAAUGGCAAUGGAUACUGGACAGCUAGAGUGCGGUAGAGGGUAGUGGAAUUCCCGGUGUAGCAGUGAAAUGCGUAGAGAUCGGGAGGAACACCAGUGGCGAAGGCGGCUACCUGGACCAGCACUGACACUGAAGCACGAAAGCGUGGGGAGCAAACAGG